UCGGAUGUGGUGUAAAGGCAACACUGCGGUUUAAAGUGAGGACUUCUCUCGUGCCUUAAAGCUGUCAAUCCAGGUUCGACUCCUGGCAUCCUAC